rnacentral:rRNA from 1 species
UGUGUAGGCGGUUGUUUAAGUUUGGUGUGAAAUCUCCCGGCUCAACUGGGAGGGUGCGCCGAAUACUGAAUGACUCGAGUGCGGGAGAGGAGAGUGGAAUUCCUGGUGUAGCGGUGAAAUGCGUAGAUAUCAGGAGGAACACCGGUGGUGUAGACGGCUCUCUGGACCGUAACUGACGCUGAGACACGAAAGCGUGGGUAGCAAACA